rnacentral:rRNA from 1 species
UACGAAGGGGGCUAGCGUUGUUCGGAAUUACUGGGCGUAAAGCGUGCGCAGGCGGCCUUCCAAGUCAGGGGUGAAAGCCCAGAGCUCAACUCUGGAAUUGCCUUUGAGACUGUGAGGCUUGAGUACGGGAGAGGUGAGUGGAAUUCCCAGUGUAGAGGUGAAAUUCGUAGAUAUUGGGAAGAACACCGGUGGCGAAGGCGGCUCACUGGACCGAGACUGACGCUGAGGCGCGAAAGCGUGGGGAGCAAACAGG